rfam:Ailuropoda melanoleuca scaffold2057_8, whole genome shotgun sequence.
GGGGAACCUGGUCGACCUGGCCCAGACCUCAGCUACAUAGCUGAUGUACUGAGUCAGGGGGCCGAGGCUCUCC